CAUGAAGAAACUACCACUCCCUGUCACUGGCAUCACUGCAUGAGCUCCGCAUCCUGUCAGAUCAGUGGCAGCAUUAGAUUCUGCAUUAUGACACAAUAAAACCCAUCAGCUGAAGAAGAU